GAUGAAGAACGUAGCGAAAUGCGAUAAGUAGUGUGAAUUGCUGAAUUCAGUGAAUCAUCGAAUCUUUGAACGCACAUUGCGCCCCUUGGUAUUCCAUGGGGCAUGCCUGUUCGAGCGUCAUUUGUACCUUCAAGCUUUGCUUGGUGUUGGGUGUUUGUCCCGAGGGACUCGCCUUAAAGUAAUUGGCAGCCAGUGUUUGGUUUUGAAGCGCAGCACAAGUCGCGAUUCAAGGCUACACGCCCGCUUCCACAAGCCUUUUUUCACUUUUGACCUCGGAUCAGGUAGGGAUACCCGCUGAACUUAAGCAUAUCAAUAAGCGGAGGA
rnacentral:misc_RNA from 1 species